rnacentral:tRNA from 1 species
GAGGGUAUAGCUCAGUGGUAAAGUGCAUGCUUAGCAUGCACGAGGUUCUGGGUUCAAUCCCCAGUACCUCCA